UGGAGCGAGCGAGAACGGACUGCGCGUGCGUGGCUGCCUGGCCGGCGCUGAGGGGCUGAGCGUACGCGGGCGGCGGGGUGGGCCGCUAUGCUGCAACUGAAGCCCAGUGAUCUGACAGUAUGGAAGUGCUUUCCUUCCGCUCAUCCGCGGCCCUGGGCUGCGGCAGGGGGGUUGGGUGUGUCAGGUGAAAAGUGCUCCCUCCCACCCUUCAGACAGGUCCCCAAACCCUGCGGCCUGCGCGGAAUUCCUGCAUUGUCAUUGCCGGCCCACCCACUGUUCAGGCUGAGAGCGGUCCCCCGCCCAAACCGGCGCUUCGCCGGCGCCAAGAUAGAAAUGGGUCGCCCGGCUGGUAAAGAGGCUGCCCUGCAACCCUGGGCUGGAGUAUUGCUGUGGUCCUGGAUUUCUGGACUUUAUUUGCGUUCUCAAGUGGCGAAGUGUUCCUCAACCUGGACCCACAUCAGAAGCAGGUUCUCCGAGCCCCUAAGCAGCGGCGUGACAAAGUAAUUGUUUACCCUGGAAAUAGACUGUUAUUUUUUAAAAAUUAUUGUCAGGGCUUGCUUUAAUGUUCUUAAUGUUUUUGUAUGAGAUCCUCCAUGUGAGAUUUGAAAAGAUCCACUAUGCGGGUCAUCUAACCGGUCACUAGACAUUGAUUCCACACUUACUACGUCGAGCACAGUUGACACUGGGAAUACAUGGAUGGACUUAUACUAGCCCUAAAAUAACUCCUUUUCUAUUAGAACUUUACUAGGUAAAGGUAUUUGAAUGUCUGAACUCCAUGUUUAGAAGGAGUCAUUGGUUUUAAGGCUCUGUCCUAGUACACCUGUAAGAGCAUUUGCUUAAAAUUGCCUGGCCUUUGUAUGUUAUCUCUGUCACUUCAUAUUUGAAAAUCACUUGCUAGAAUAUGGCCUGAUCAAUGCUGUUAUGCUAGUGAGAAAAUCCACAACUAAAGACUAUUUGCUAUAUAUUAGCAUUACGGUUAGAAGUCUGGAAGCCUUUGGAGGCUGGCAAAUCUGAGUUCAGGUCUAGCUCUUCGAGUUUACUGGCUGUGUAACCUUAGGCAAUUUACUUAACCUCCGUGAGUCUCAGUUUCCUUAUCUGUCAAAUGAGGAUAAAAGAACUUAGAGUUGUUAUUGAGAUUAAACGGGAUGAUUCAUGUAAAAUGGCUUAGAAUAACGACUGGCAAAUCUUAAGCGCUUACCACAUGUUAAUUGUUAUCAAUGACUUUCUUUACCUUUCACACCAUUAAUAUCUGACCAACCUCUAGAAGUGAUGGGCCUAAAGAACUCUUGGAGCUAAAAUUCUUUGUCACCUGUAAUGCCAGCGCUUUGGGAGGCCAAGGCAGGCAGAUUGCUUAAGCCCAGGAGUUCUUGACCAGCCUGGGCAACAUGGCGAAACCCCGGCUCUACAAAAAAUUAGCCAAGCGUGGUGGUGUGUGCCUAUAGUCCCAGCUAUUUAGGAGGCUGAGGUGGGAGGAUCACCUGAGUCCAGGAGGUCGAGGCUGCAGUGAACUGUGAUCAUGCCACUGCAAUCCAGCCUGGAUGACAGAGCAAGACCCUGUCACUAAAUAAAUAAAUAAAUAAAUAAAAUAAAACU
rnacentral:lncRNA from 1 species